GCACGAUUGCAGGUGUCAGGGAUGCAAGAGUGAUUAAGAGAGAGGGGGCCCUGCCCUCAUGGAGCCUCACUCCAGAGGGGUCCCCAAAAUGCCCAUGGCCAUUCCAAAGCCACCCAAAAGGAGAGGAAAUGUGGCCAAAUGGAAGUCAAGGUGGAAAGAGGCAGUGAUCUGAAGCAACUAAACAUCUUACCAUUGCAGAGUUUAUAACAAUGGGAAAUGAAGUCUCAGAGAAAUUGUUUUCUGCCUACACAUGGUGGAAGUAUUUCAAAGCUGGAGUUCAAAACCAG
rnacentral:lncRNA from 1 species